rnacentral:rRNA from 1 species
GCAGGCUGCAACCCGCCUGCAUGAAGUUGGAAUCGCUAGUAAUCGCGGAUCAGCAUGCCGCGGUGAAUACGUUCCCGGGCCUUGUACACACCGCCCGUCACACCAUGAGAGUCGGGAACACCCGAAGUCCGUAGCCUAACCGCAAGGGGGGCGCGGCCGAAGGUGGGUUCGAUAAUUGGGGUGAAGUCGUAACAAGGUAUC